rnacentral:rRNA from 1 species
GAUGAACGCUGGCGGCGUGCCUAAUACAUGCAAGUCGAGCGAACAGACGAGGAGCUUGCUCCUCUGACGUUAGCGGCGGACGGGUGAGUAACACGUGGAUAACCUACCUAUAAGACUGGGAUAACUUCGGGAAACCGGAGCUAAUACCGGAUAAUAUAUUGAACCGCAUGGUUCAAUAGUGAAAGACGGUUUUGCUGUCACUUAUAGAUGGAUCCGCGCCGCAUUAGCUAGUUGGUAAGGUAACGGCUUACCAAGGCAACGAUGCGUAGCCGACCUGAGAGGGUGGUCGGCCACACUUGAACUGAGACCACGUCCCAGCUCCUACGGGAGGCCACAGUUGGGAAACUUCCGCAAUGGGCGAAAGCCUGACGGAGCAACGCCGCGGGAGGGAUGAAGGUCCUCGGAUCCUAAAACCCUGUUAUUUGGGAAAAAAAAAUGGGGAAGUAACUAUGCACGUCUUGACGGUACCUAAUCAGAAAGCCACGGCUAACUACGUG